CGUUGAAACACCGGUUCCCGUACGAUCACAGAAGUUAAGCAACGUCGAGCUUGGUCAGUUAUAAGAUGGGUGACGGCUUGAAUAUACUAGGUGCUGUA